ensembl:misc_RNA Metazoa_SRP Metazoan signal recognition particle RNA
GCCAGGCGUGGUGGCACGUGCCUGUAAUCCCAGCUACUCAGGAGGCUGAGGCAGGAGAAUCGCUUGAACCCAGGAGGCAGGGGUUGCAGUGAGCUGAGAUCACGCCACUGCACUCCAGCCUGGGUGACAGAGUGGGAUUCCGUCUCAA